rfam:Fukomys damarensis contig114775, whole genome shotgun sequence.
AGAGGCAUAGCUCAGUGGAGGAGCGCUUGCCUAGCAUGUGCAAGGCCCUGGGUUCCAUCCCCAGUGCCACUA